rnacentral:other from 1 species
ACGGUUAUAAAUCAACAUAUUGAUUUAUAAGCAUGGAAAUCCCCUGAGUGAAACAACGAACUGCUGUGUGUAGUCUUUGCCCAUCUCCCACGAUGGGCUUUUUUUUAA